GGAAGGGCCUUCCCAGGACCAGACCUUGUCAGUCAGGGGCUGACAAGACCCCAGCAGUGGGUUUCUCAAGCUCCUGCCUCUCCCCAGAGGCCCUGAGCUCCCUCAAGCUUUGGAUCCUAGAGAAGCCACUGAGGAAUCUGCCUGACUCUUGGCCAUGGGCAGCCUGGAUGAGCAGGGAGUUACCAACCCACUGGACAACUCUUGACCAGAGGGGACAGGUGCUCCUCCAUUCCUUGGGAGGAACUUCCAAGGGAGUGAGAACGUCUUACAGUCGGCCGCUCUGCCUGUGCAUUUGGAUAGCCCCGCAAGUUGAGCAACGUUCAUGUUUUCCUAGCUGGUAAGAAAGGAGGCCAGGAGGAGCCUGCCUGCACCUGCAGGGGAAGAUGUGGCCCCCUUUCCCCCAAGGCUUGCCUCUCGGAGAGGAGCAGAAAGGCUCAGCCACACCAGUCUCUGUCAUGCAUGCUCUGGAAUCCUUGGAUUGUUGGGCGCAGGUUCCCCACUUAGGGGCAGAAGGGGACACCUCCUUCUGGAGAAGAUGGAUCUUGGAAAUGCUUGUUAUGUGAACUCAGUCCUUCAACUUACACAGAUGCUUUGCUGUUUACAAUUAAUUACUGUAAGCACAAUGAUCAUUCAUUCAUCCAUUCAAAAAUA